rnacentral:rRNA from 1 species
UUAGAGUUUGAUCCUGGCUCAGGAUGAACGCUGGCGGCGUGCCUAACACAUGCAAGUCGAACGAGCAAAUACAUUUGAUUUCUUCGGAAUGAAGAUGUAGGCGCGAGUGGCGGACGGGUGAGUAACGCGUGAGUAAUCUGCCUCAUACAGGAGAAUAACACUAAGGAAUUGGUGCUAAUACUCCAUAAGCUCACAUUAUGACAUCAUAGAGUGAGAAAAGAUUUAUCGGUAUGAGAGGAGCUCGCGUCUGAUUAGCUAGUUGGUGGGGUAACGGCCUACCAAGGCAACGAUCAGUAGCCGACCUGAGAGGGUGAUCGGCCACAUUGGAACUGAGACACGGUCCAAACUCCUACGGGAGGCAGCAGUGGGGAAUAUUGCACAAUGGGGGAAACCCUGAUGCAGCAACGCCGCGUGAAGGAAGAAGUAUUUCGGUAUGUAAACUUCUAUCGACAGGGAAGAAACAAAUGACGGUACCUGAAUAAGAAGCACCGGCUAAAUACGUGCCAGCAGCCGCGGUAAUACGUAUGGUGCAAGCGUUAUCCGGAUUUACUGGGUGUAAAGGGUGAGUAGGCGGUCAUGCAAGUCAUAUGUGAAAUGUCAGGGCUUAACCUUGGCGCUGCAUAAGAAACUGUAUGACUAGAGUGCAGGAGAGGUAAGCGGAAUUCCUAGUGUAGCGGUGAAAUGCGUAGAUAUUAGGAAGAACACCGGUGGCGAAGGCGGCUUACUGGACUGUUACUGACGCUGAGUCACGAAAGCGUGGGGAGCAAACAGGAUUAGAUACCCUGGUAGUCCACGCCGUAAACGAUGAGUGCUAGGUGUUGGCCAGAGAUGGUCGGUGCCGCAGCAAACGCAAUAAGCACUCCACCUGGGGAGUACGACCGCAAGGUUGA